rnacentral:rRNA from 1 species
CAGUAGCCGCGGUAAGAUAGAGGAUGCAAGUGUUAUCCGGAAUGAUUGGGCGUAAAGCGUCUGUAGGUGGCUUUUCAAGUCCGCUGCCAAAUCCCAGGGCUCAACCCUAGAUAGGUCGUGGAAACUACCAGCUAGAGUAUGGUAGGGGUAGAGGGAAUUUCCAGUGGAGCAGUGAAAUGCAUUGAGAUCGGAAAGAACACUAAUGGUGAAAGCACUCUGCUGGGCCGACACUGACACUGAGAGACGAAAGCUAGGGGAGCAAAUGGGAUUAGAUACCCGUGUAGUACCUGUCUCUUAUACA